AGAGUUUGAUCCUGGCUCAGAUUGAACGCUGGCGGCAUGCCUUACACAUGCAAGUCGAACGGCAGCACGGGUGCUUGCACCUGGUGGCGAGUGGCGAACGGGUGAGUAAUACAUCGGAACAUGUCCAGUAGUGGGGGAUAGCCCGGCGAAAGCCGGAUUAAUACCGCAUACGAUCUUGAUGGAAGAACGGGGGAUCUCGG
rnacentral:rRNA from 1 species